UAGAGAGAGGUGAGUCAGUGUCUGGCCCAGCCAGGCCCUCACAGCCACAGCUCUGCUUCCCAUCAAGGGGCGGAGCAGCUGCGGCUCCCCUCUGGCCAGGGCUGGGGGUCUGAGUCAGCUGGAGUCAGGUAAGCAGAGGAGGAUGUGGGGCUUUCCCACCCGCAGCCUGGAAGCCCGUGUGUGCAGGGCAGGGCUGCCUCCCACGGCAGGGGCAGGCAGAGGCCUCUGCGCCAGGUACAGCCUAGGUACCGCCUACCCCCAUGGCUGACCCUGGGCCCCAAAUCCAGCGGGAGGCCUGGGAGCAUCUUCUCCGCCUGAGUCACCGGGCUGGGCCCAGGACCCCAGCCAAGGGCUUUGCCUCUGGGAAGAAAAGAGCUUUGGAGUCCAGCAAAACCUGGGAAGCAGGGGGAAGCUUCCCUAGCAGGUGCUAUUUGAGCAGAGGCCUGGAGGAGGGAGACUAGCAAUUAUUUGGUCUUCGAGGCAAGUUAGCACCACACAGAGACUCUUCUGGAUAUAAAGGAAAGACUGUAAAGAAUUUGCAGAGAGAAUAACUCUCGCUAUGUGACCCGAGGUGAUUUUAUGCUUUGCCUGUGCAGCCUAUAAAAUAAUCUUGUGUGGUCCCCAUGAUGCACAUCAACCAGGAGAUGCUGGAGAGUCUGAGACAGCGUGCUGGCAGCACUCUGCCGGGGGAAGGACACGGAGGUGUCCAGGCUCGGCUCCAAAAGCAGACAAGCCUGCACUGCGCUGGAGCAGGUGAGAAGUAGCUGGGUUCCACCGUGCCCUUUUCGUCUGUGUCCCUUGCCACCCAACACGAGCUCAGCACACAGUUGAUCUUCACUAACUAGUCACCCCUCCAAGCUUUUGCAAUGGUUGUUCCCUCUGCUAAAGAUACCCCCUUCUCCCACCUUGACCACCCGACUAACUCUUAAGCUCAGCUCCCAGGUGCCUCCUCCUCCUUCUUCUUGGUACAUGAGUGCCCCGCUUGGCAUUCGCUUAGGGGUGUCUAUACACACUAUUUCCUCUGCCUGGAGUAUCUUCUUCCAUGGGGCAGGGGUCAGUCAGCACCUUCUGUAUGCAAGGGACAGAAAGCCAGUCCCAACUGUUUUCAGCCAAAAAUGGGAAAGACAGUGGCUCACAUAACUAGAAAGUUGAAGGUGCCUAAUUUCAGGUACAGUGGGAUCCAGGAGUUCAAAGCCUGUCCAGCUCUGUGCUGCUUCCUGUCAGGCAGGCUUUUCCCUUGUUUUGUCCUCUUCUUCUCUAAGCGUUCACUUGCUCACUGUCCAUCCAAUGGAAAAUGGCAUCUCCUUCACAAAUCAUGGCCAACCCUGAAGUCCCAAGAUCAAGUUUCAUUGGGCAGGCUCAGUCAUGUGCCCAUCCCUGGACCAAUCACUAGAGCAAGACCCGGUCACAUGUCCACCCCUGGAGACAGAGGCCUCUGGGCACCCCCAGCCUCAUGGACUGAGAAAAGGGAAGAGGGGGUUCUUCAGUAGGAAGUCGAGGUGCUGUUACCUGAAAAUGGGAGAUAGAUGCUGACUUGUCCACACACCCGCACCUUCUCCCAGCAAACUCUAGCUCGUCUCUGCACAUUGUAUGACCUCAGGCCAACCCCUUCCCCUCUCUGGGUCUUAUGUUCCUCCUCCGGAAAAUGGGCAGGAGGCCGUUUGAAUUCCAACAUUCCAGAAUUCUGGGACAGCUUCCAGGACUGGAGUCAGCUCCCUAGAUCCCAGGAACGUUCCAGCACUUCUGGGGACGGAAGUGGAGCAUCAGCCAGAGCCCUCCCCGGCCCCCGGCCUGGGAACAUGUUUAGAAGAUGACAACUGGGCUCCCUUUGGCCGAAAUUCCACUCCCGUGGGGGCCUUGCCAAGGAAAAUAAGCCCAAGAACCAGGCAUUAAAGAACCAAGAAGUGAAUCACGGCUGGCCCUGCCCUUGAGAAGCUCACAAUCAAGUGAUGGAAACAGACAGCUACAACCCAAGAUGGAAAAUAUUCAGAAGUCAAAGGGAGCUCCAGGCAGGUGCCUUCACAGAAGGGGACUCAGGUCCUUCUAGGGAUUCAGAGAAGGCUCCUUGGAGGAAGCAGCAUCCAAACAGGACUCAUGAAGUCAGAAAAACAGUGAACAAACUCCCUUAGAUAUCCCAGAGGGUAACUCACAGGACCUAACCACCUAGAUGCUCAUUGAGCUCUUUGGAGCAUCCAAGACUGAGAACACCUGUGGCAAAUGUUCACCCAGGAAUUCCCAAACCCAAUGGCUAAUGGAACACUUUCCCCCUUGUCACUCCUAUUAGUACCCCCAGAGACUCUGUGUCCCUCAGAUCUGUGUCCUCAAAAUGGAUAAAUGAUAAAAUAGAUUUGGGAAAUGCUAGUCUGGUCCAAACUUCUUGUUUCCACAAAGAAGAAAACAAAGUUCCACAAAACAUCUCUGACCUCAAAAAUUGUGUUCAUCUGUAGAUAAGAUGCAAUGCACAAUAUAUGCCCAAAGACUCC
rnacentral:lncRNA from 10 species